AGUUAUUAGCUAGGCAGCAAAUCUGUUUUGAAAACAGACUAAAAGUGUUCAAAUCACUUAAUAACUU
rnacentral:tRNA from 1 species